AAUCAGCGGGGAAAGAAGACCCUGUUGAGCUUGACUCUAGUCUGGCACGGUGAAGAGACAUGAGAGGUGUAGAAUAAGUGGGAGGCCCCCGGCGCCCCCCCGUCCCCGCGAGGGGGCGGGGCGGGGUCCGCCGGCCUUGCGGGCCGCCGGUGAAAUACCACUACUCUUAUCGUUUUUUCACUGACCCGGUGAGGCGGGGGGGCGAGCCCCGAGGGGCUCUCGCUUCUGGCGCCAAGCGCCCGGCCGCGCCGGCCGGGCGCGACCCGCUCCGGGGACAGUGCCAGGUGGGGAGUUUGACUGGGGCGGUACACCUGUCAAACGGUAACGCAGGUGUCCUAAGGCGAGCUCAGGGAGGACAGAAACCUCCC
rnacentral:ncRNA from 1 species